UGUAAGAGACAGUGCCAAGAUGGCGGAUACAGCCAGAUCACACUAACCAUCCUGCACACCUAGAAAACCCAUUUGAGGAUUAGCACAGCAAUCGGCACAACCUGAACCACAGAACUCAGAAGUGAUGCCAGGGUACCAUACCUUCCUUCUCCAUGGGGUGAGGUUGUUGAAAACUCAGAAGAUGAUGUAAUAGCUAAUGUCUAUGGGGCACUGACUAUAUGGGUCAAAUGCUGAGGCUUCACACCCAGCAUGGAGCCCAACACAGGGGCUCAUGACCCCUGAGAUCAAGACCUGAGCUGAGAUCAAGAGUCAGACGCUUAACCAAGCAUCCCCUUUUAUAAUUUCUAGUGGAAUUGUCUUUCUUUAACUGUUGUAUUCAGAGAAUUUGACCAGUGAACUUUUACACUUGAAAUUAAUUUUUUUUAAUUUUCUGUGAUACACAAAGGCUCCUAAGUUCUAAACAAAUACCAAUCUUAAGAUAGUGAUCAAAUUCUCUAUGUUCAUAUUGAUUCAAUCCUUUUGCCAACUUAAUAUGUGAAUGUCCAAAGAGAUCUAAGAGAUCUAACAACAUUUUGUACAUUUGUGUCACUGAUUAUUUCUUCUGGUGCUCUGCACACACACAUUUUAUGUUAUACACUGACACAUUUCACCAGUGACUGUAUCUUUUAUAAUGUUAAAUUAUUUUUUUUUUCUCCAACUAAAAUGCCUUUUACUUUAUUUCUGUUUUUUGACUUAACAUCUUUGCUGCUCCUACUUCCAUUAGGUUUCAUUGGCAGGGUGAGGCCUUGCCCAAAGAGUUAUUUUCUACCUUUCCAAGUUUAUUUAUUUUAGGUAUAUCACUAAUAUCAUGUACUUGCUUUUGUAGUAGGGUUGUUUGCCAGUGUUUAUAGUAAAUAUGUUUGACACUUCUGCAUUAUCUUCUUAAUUUCUCUUUUUCCUCUUUCUUGCUAAGUUCACUACUUUUUUGCCUUUGGUUGAAAAAAAGCAAUGUAAAAUGUAUGAAUUAACUUGCCCAAUCUACUGAAGAUUAAGGUAAUUAUUAACCUAUUUUUCAUAAGAAAUUAAAAAUUGAAAUGCUAGCUAUGACUCCUCUCUAGGUGAGAGAAGGCAUUUUGUGAGCUUUUAAGUUCCUCUCACUACUAACCACAUAUUUUUCCCAGUCUUUGUUACUGAAUGUGAGAACUUAGAGCUAACUCAUUGCCAUUCUUUCUAGGUCAGUUAACUUUUUCUUUUCUGUAGGCUCCACACCUAGUGCAGAGCCCAACACAGGGCUCAAACUCAUGACCCUGAGAUCAAGAUCUGAGCUGAUAUCAAGAGUCACAUGGUCAACCAACUGAGCCAUUCAGGCACCUCUAUAUUUGUUUUUAUCUCAAAAGUUAUUUUGGUAUUUUCCUUCAACCUUUUAAAUAAAAUAAAAUUCGUCUCUUAAGUAACAACCAUAUUCAUAGAUGCUUUUUUUUUUCUAUGUCACACUACCAUUUCCCAAAUAUCUAUAGUGUGCCAGGGCCUGUGCUGUCCAUUUUACAGACAUUAUAACUAAUUCUUACAAGAACCUAUGAAAGCAAUUAUUCUGCUUCACAGAUGAGGAAAGCGAGACUCAGAUAAUAUGUAUUUCUGGUGAGUCACCAUCAAGUGGCUGAUAUGUAAGGCAGUGAUUUUGUUGCAAUACCUAAAUACUGCAACAGAACAAGGAACAGGGCACACUAGGGGGACAGAGAGAGGAGUGACUUAGUAUUCAUGCAGGGGAUGAGUGAGGAGGUAGUGAGGAAGGCUUCACCAAAGAGAAAACACUUUAGUUGAGUCAUGAUGUAUGAACCAUUUCCCAGGAGAAUAAGAAGGAAAAGCCAUUCUGGGCCCAAGGAACAUCUGUAAACACCAGGAGUAAAAGCAGUGUCGGUGUGAGAAAACUGUAAGUAUGUGGCUGGAGUGCAGGUGGUUUUAUGGCCACAGCAGAAGGUGAAUUUGGAAGUGGAAGCAGGGGUCAUAUUUUGAAGGAGCUUUUGUGUCAUGUUGAGGAGCCUGAAACUCAUCCUGUAAAUGAUGGGGAACAACCAAAGGAUAUUAAGCAGAAAAUGACAAUCCAGUUUGAUUGUGGAAAGAUCAUUCUAUGCAAUAAAUAUAAAAGUUGGACUUGGGAUGGCCUACGACUAAAGGCAAAGAGGUCUGUGAGGAGGUCCCGAUUAAAGCAAUUGUCGCAGGAAUGUUUGGAGCUCUCCUGAAUAAAACUGUCACCUGCUGUUUCCCUUUCUGCCUUGACUGUCAAGAAGUUCAAAGCCAUAUUUAAUCCUCAUUUACAGUAACUGUAUGAGCCCUCUGAAUGAGUAUAGUUUUUUCACCUCCAUUUCAUGGUGUAAUUGUUUUCUAUUGCUGCUGUAACAAAUUACAACUUAUUUAGCAACUAAAGAUGACAUAAAUGGGUAAUCUCACUGUCUCCAUGUGUCUGAAGUCUAUGACAGGUCUCACUGGGCUAAAAUCAAGGUGUCUCAGGGCUGUGUUCCUCAUUAGAGGCUCUGGGGAAUGAUCUGCUUCCAAACUCAUUCAGUUUCCACACAGUAGUAGAAGUGAGGUCCCAGCUUCCUUGCUAACUGUAAGCCAGGGGUUGGUUCUCAGUCUUCAAAUCCCUACCUGCAUUCCUUGAUGCGUGGCCCCCUUCAUCUCCGAAGCCAUCAACAGCGGGUUGGGGUCCUUCUUGUGCUUUGAGUAUCUCUGACCUCCCCACCCCCCCACCUUCUGCCACGUCUCUCUGACCCUUCUCCCUGCCUCUUCUCUUUUUAAGGGCUCAUGUGAUUACACCAAGCCCAUCAGGAUACUCAGGAUACUCACUGUGUUUAGAAGUCAGUGGAUUCAGAACUUCAACUCCAUCUUCAAAGCCUCCUCACAGCAUACUCAGAUUACUGUUUAAUUAAAUUCCAGAAGAUUGAUCGUCUCAGCCCUUUUUGGUUGGCCAGGACAACAGGAGUAGUUCCGAACAUUGGAUUUCCAUUUCCAGUGAUUGCUUCAGAUUGUCAAUAUCCUGGGACUUCCAUGAUUUCACCAGAAAAGACUGGUCUUCAUCUCACAUGAAAAACUGAUCGCAGAGAAGCCAAAAGGAGUACAGGAUUGCCCCAAAGAAGAAGGAAAAAGGAGGAGGAGGAAGAAGAAGCAGAGCAGAAGGAAGGGGAGAUGGUAAAGGAAAAGAGAUGAAUGUCUAAAAAAAAAAAUUCAAAGGAAAGAAAAGCUUCAUUAGUUCUGGGAAAUCUGAAGACCAAAUUAGGGACACUGCUGAGAGAGCCAAGGGAAAGGACCCAAAUAGGGGCCGAGGCAGCCGGAAGCAGGGGCGUUCAGGGUUUCGGGGGGUGCAGGCAAUAAGGUCUGGCCUGGGAAUAGGAAGACUGUAGGUGGUUGCAUCAGGGUACCCAGAGCAGAGAAAGCUCUCUAGGAAAGAUCUCCCGGCUAAGCCAGUGCCCUAUUUGUCUUUCGGCUCCUAGUGUUUCACAGCCAAGAGAAUGUCUGCGUGGCCCUGAGCAGUCAGGCAGGCGCCCCUUCCCACACAUGGGAAGAGGUUUAUUACAUUGGACACACAAAGUAACCCAAGUGUCCUGAAGAGAAUAUGAGAAAGCACAUUUAGUCUUUUCCAAAGGUGUGAAACCAAUCUCUCCUUGAGAAAGGGGAAAAAAAUUUUUUUUAAAUAAAACAAUUCAUCUUCUGCUUAUUCUGAGUAGGAAUUUCAAAUGCCAUGGUUUCCAGUCAACAGUCAGUCUCAUCACGAAAGAGUGCAGCCAUCUUAGAGGUAUACCUAAGGAUUUAUUCCGAAGCUGGCAUAAAACACCUGAUCCCGAAACAAUCCCAUUUGAACUAAAAUUCAUUUGCGGUCAUAAAUUGAAGAGAUGCAAACACAGAGGUGGCAUUCCUCGAGCAUUUUCAAACACAACAGAAGAAGAGAGUGAUGGCCUCAACCCAAGCAAACUCGUCAAAAUGUUGCUGGUAAGGCUUUCAGCUGCUUUCAAAUGGCAUCUCUCAUCUGAAACACUUUUCUCAGGUUUUUUUCUGUUUAAUAAAAUAUUUUAGCAUUAAAAGCCCACAAGGCAUGAAGACCUAUUCUUGGGGCCUUAAAGCUUAUAUUAAGCUUUUCCCAAUGACUUCACAAAUCUUUAAAACAGCAGCCAUGUUUUGUCAUAACGGCAUCCCCACAUUCGGUUUUCACUUGAUUUGAUUUGCGCAGUGCAAAGAGAACUGAAGUCCAAAGAUGUGCCAAGUAUGCUAUCUGGGAAUUAGAUUCAUCUCUAUGAGCUUUGUUUCUUCAUCUGCAAAACAGGUAUAAUAACGCCAGUUCUACCCCAUCCCUGAGUUUUUAGAGAACACAGUGAAUAUAACAAAUUCAAGUGCUUUAAAAAGAGAGAAACACCAUGGAAAUGUAACGCAUGUAUUAUUGCUGGUGUUACUAUCUUUCUUUUUGAUUGCAAUUUAUGUGGCCGAAGCUCCAAUGCAAGGGCUCAUAGAAGAUCUGUUUCACAUUCAGGCAAGUUCACGGGCACCUGGAAGCCUCACACGCAUCACAGAGGGCUUAUAGCUGUCCAGAGAACUAAGACCUUUGAGACACUAAGAAACUCCAUUAUGCAUAACCACUGAGGCAAAAGAGAGUGGCUGGUGAUGGAAAAGCUAAUUUGGUGGCAAUAACAGGGAGAUGGUAGGAAGCUAAUCUAAUCAUCGUUCUAACAAGCUUUCAGAUAAUGCCUACUCUACUGAUCCACGAACCACAUUCUGAGAAAAAAAGAGAAAGAGAGAGACAGAGACAGAGACAGAAUGCAUGAAGAGUUCAGGUGGCCAAGAAAUCCCAAACAGUAAACCAUAGGAAGUUAUCAACAUACGUGCUUUCCAGAGCCUAUCAUAUACUUCACCUUCCCAAAUGAGAUAUUCACUCUCAAAGAACUCAUGCUCUCCUUCUGUUCCUUCCGAAACUGUACAUUACAUCCAAAUGAUUUCCUACCAUGCUGUGUCAAUACACUGCGUUGCUAAAUCAGUGAAAAAAGA